AUGGUGGUCACUCUGGAACUGCUCACAGACAGAAAGAUUUGGCUAUGUUUGCACCGUGCAUGGCCACUUCCCGACAGCAUUAGUGGAAACUGCCUUUCCCCGGUGACCUUGCUGCUAAGCUGGAGACUGCCAGGGACUGUCACCUCCAAUGACACUGCUCAGAGGGUCCUUGUCAGAACAAUUACCACUGCAUUUCCCUGGUGCCUGCUCAGCUUCAUUGGCUGCACUCCGGAGAGUGAAAAGGCAACUACUCUUACCCCUCAUUUAACUAAACCAUGCCGAGAGAGAAAGAAGUGCCUCUCCUCUCUCCUCCCUGCUGUGACCGGUGGCCGAAGGGCAGGGAACACCUUGGGCAGCAGAUCAAGACUGAUGUGA
rnacentral:lncRNA from 1 species